UUCCGGUUGAUCCCGCCGGACCCCACUGCUAUCGAGGUGGGACUAAGCCAUGCUAGUCGAACGAACAGAACUAUGUCUGUAAGUGGCAUACUGCUCAGUAACACGUAGCUAACCUACCCUUAGGACGUCGAUAACCCCGAGAAAUUGGGGCUAAUAAGCGAUAGAUGUGAUGUCCUGGAAUGGUAUCACGUCUAAAAGUAUCUCAUACAUGUUUGAGUUACGCCUAAGGAUGGGGCUGCGGCCGAUCAGGCAGUUGGUGAGGUAAUGGCUCACCAAACCUUUGACCGGUACGGGCCAUGAGAGUGGUAGCCCGGAGAUGGACACUGAGACAAGGGUCCAGGCCCUACGGGGCGCAGCAGGCGCGAAACCUCCUCAAUGCACUAACGUGCGAAGGGGUUACCUCGAGUGCUAUCUGAAGAAGGUGGCUUUUCCUUGGUCUAAAAAGCCUAGGGAAUAAGAGGGGGGCAAGACUGGUGUCAGCCGCCGCGGUAACACCAGCCCCUCGAGUGGUGGGGAUGAUUAUUUGGCCUAAAGCGUCCGUAGCCGGCCGGGUAAGUUUCCCGUUAAAUCCAACGUCUCAAGCGUUGGACCGCGGGAAAUACUGCCUGGCUAGAGAGUGGGAGAGGUCAGCGGUAUUCUGGGGGUAGGGGCGAAAUCCUUUGAUCCCCGGAGGACCACCAGUGGCGAAGGCUGCUGACUAGAACACGUCUGACGGUCAGGGACGAAAGCUGGGGUAGCGAACCGGAUUAGAUACCCGGGUAGUCCCAGCCGUAAACGAUGCAUGCUAGGUGUUGGGUUGGCCACAAGCCACCCCAGUGCCGCAGGGAAGCCGUUAAGCAUGCCGCCUGGGAAGUACGAUCGCAAGAUUGAAACUUAAAGGAAUUGGCGGGGGAGCACCACCAGGCGUGAAGCCUGCGGUUUAAUUGGAGUCAACGCCGGGAACCUUACCGGAAGCGACAGCAGAGUGAAGGCCAGAUUGAAGAUCUUGCCAGACGAGCUGAGAGGUGGUGCAUGGCC
rnacentral:rRNA from 1 species